rnacentral:rRNA from 1 species
GACGAACGCUGGCGGCGUGCUUAACACAUGCAAGUCGAACGCUGAAGCUCAGCUUUUGUUGGGUGGAUGAGUGGCGAACGGGUGAGUAACACGUGAGUAACCUGCCCCCUUCUUUGGGAUAACGCCCGGAAACGGGUGCUAAUACUGGAUAUUCACUGGUCUUCGCAUGGGGGUUGGUGGAAAGGGUUUUUCUGGUGGGGGAUGGGCUCGCGGCCUAUCAGCUUGUUGGUGGGGUGAUGGCCUACCAAGGCUUUGACGGGUAGCCGGCCUGAGAGGGUGACGGGCACAAUGGGGCCUGAAAUCCGCCCAGGACGCCACCGGGGGGAACCGUUGGGAAAAAUUGCCAAUGGGGCCAAAGCUGGUGCCAGGGAGGCCGGGGGGGGAUUGGGGCCUUCGGGUUUGUGACCCCUUUCGCUCAAGGGUAAGCCGCAAACAUUGUUUGUGUGAAGGUAAUGGGUUAAGAAGCGCCGGCUAACUACGUG